rnacentral:rRNA from 1 species
GAUGAACGCUGGCGGCGUGCCUAAUACAUGCAAGUCGAGCGAACAGACGAGGAGCUUGCUCCUCUGACGUUAGCGGCGGACGGGUGAGUAAUACGUGGAUAACCUACCUAUAAGACUGGGAUAACUUCGGGAAACCGGAGCUAAUACCGGAUAAUAUAUUGAACCGCAUGGUUCAAUAGUGAAAGACGGUUUUGCUGUCACUUAUAGAUGGAUCCGCGCCGCAUUAGCUAGUUGGUAAGGUAACGGCUUACCAAGGCAACGAUGCGUAGCCGACCUGAGAGGGUGAUCGGCCACACUGGAACUGAGACACGGUCCAGACUCCUACGGGAGGCAGCAGUAGGGAAUAUUCCGCAAUGGGCGAAAGCCUGACGGAGCAACGCCGCGUGAGUGAUGAAGGUCUUCGGAUCGUAAAACUCUGUUAUUAGGGAAGAACAAAUGUGUAAGUAACUAUGCACGUCUUGACGGUACCUAAUCAGAAAGCCACGGCUAACUACGUG